rnacentral:rRNA from 1 species
AACGCACGCUGGCGGCAUGCCUAACACAUGCAAGUCGAACGAGACCUUCGGGUCUAGUGGCGCACGGGUGCGUAACGCGUGGGAACCUGCCCUUAGGUUCGGAAUAACUCCCCGAAAGGGGUGCUAAUACCGGAUAAUGUCUUCGGACCAAAGAUUUAUCGCCUUUGGAUGGGCCCGCGUUGGAUUAGCUAGUUGGUAGGGUAAAAGCCUACCAAGGCGACGAUCCAUAGCUGGUCUGAGAGGAUGUUCAGCCACACUGGGACUGAGACACGGCCCAGACUCCUACGGGAGGCAGCAGUGGGGAAUAUUGGACAAUGGGCGAAAGCCUGAUCCAGCAAUGCCGCGUGAGUGAUGAAGGCCUUAGGGUUGUAAAGCUCUUUUACCCGGGAUGAUAAUGACAGUACCGGGAGAAUAAGCUCCGGCUAACUCCGUG